GCGGAGGUUGCAGUGAACCCAGAUAGCACCACCACACUCCAGCCUGGGCAACAAGAGUGACACUACGUCUCAAAAAAAAAAAAAAAAAAAGUGGUCCAGGAAGUGGGAAUGGCUUAUUAGUGAACUGGGCCCAAUUGGAGGGAGGAGGGGCAGGAGUCUAUUAAUGGGGCCUGGAUGACAGGCUGGGGCCGCAGGUGGGACCUGCAGAGCCUGGCUUAUUCUACUUCCAGAGAGAACAAAGGUGGUGGAGGGAGCUGUGGGCUGGCACCAAAUGGGCAGCCCGGGCAGGACAUUGGGGUCCUCUCUGAGUGGCCAGCAGCCCCCACCUCCCUCCCUGCCUCUCGCCUUUCAUGUGUGGCUCUAUCACCUGGACACCGUCACCUCAGUCUGAUUGGGAGUGAAAUGGGACAUGGGUUGUGGGAGAGCCCUGGAUGCCGUCACGUCUGGUCGGGAGUGAAAUGGACACAGUCACCUCGGUCUGGUCGGGAGUGGAAUGGGACAUGGGUUGAGGGACAUGCUGGGCUUCACGGGGGCCACUGUGUGCCCUUUGGGGACCAGAUGCCCAGAGCCAGUUGAAUAAACGUGCUAAAACGCUUCCCCACCAUUUCCCAUAUUCAGUGUCCCCAUGGUUGAGUGACUUGUUCCUGGGUGUGAUGGAGACAAACCCCGUGCUCUGUUCUGCCGCACUGAGCCCCUGGCUGUCCUCACGGAAGGGCCUUGACCGCCUGGUCCCGGCCCCACCCUGGCUGCCUCCUGCUCCAGGACGCGUCCGGCCAGCACGGGCUGUUCCCUCAGGGUGUCAGGUGUCUCGGGUGUCCUGAGGCCUGGCUCCAAGGCUCACACCUCCCUGGCGGUGGGGGCAGGGGGGUCCCCAGAGUGAGCGGCUCCUCCCCUGAGCUCCUGCCAAGUCCCAGCUGUGCCCUCGGUCUUAUUUAUAGGGUCCUGGUGGCCUAGCAGGAACUCGAAGACCUGGGGCUACAGCCGGGGAGCGGGGAGGGUGAGGCCUGGGCAGAGACUGCUCCUGUGGCCUGGUGGCUGCCACAGCCUUCCCUGGGCUAGGGGUUCCUGGAGAAGUGGGGGCCUGGUCACUCGUGCCCUCAGGCCCAAGCGGAGAGGAAGCCAGGCAGAGGACCCUGGGCUGUUCCGGAAUACCUGAUCUGCUGACCGGUGGCCUCAGAGUCACAAGCACACCUGGAGGCCCCCAAUGGUACCUGGCCUGAAGUGGAGCCGUGGCAAGUCACCCGCAUGGGACUAUGACGUGGGAGUAAGCUGCCCGUCCGUGCUGACAGGCCCGGGGUGGCCUCUGUCACCAUCCCAGCUCCAGUGACACAGGCAGGCCCACCCUCCCCACUCACCCCCCUGGAAUCCGUUGCCUACCCCACGCCACAGGGCCCUAUCCCAAGGAGGGGAGGAGAUCAGGAGACCCCACCCCCGCCGUCCGCACACCACCUGGAGCCAGUGUCACCUGCCCCCAGGGUUACAGAAAGGAGAAGAGGCGGGCCCAGCGGGGCAGUGCCAGGGAGCCACCCCCUCCUGGGUCUACCCCACUCCAUUUGGGGCCAACCCAGAAGCCUAGGUGCCCACGGAGGUGCCAAAAACACUGCAGAUUCGGCACCCAGCCAGGCAGGGCCACCCACAGGACGGGCGGGCACAGGGCGGGGCCACCGUGGGAGCGGGUGGGGCCCGCCUCUUCCCAGAGGCUGGUGGGCGGGGCCAAGGGCUGGCAGGGCUCAGGGUCAAGGCCUGGAGACCAGGAACUGGGCCGAGGCGUCAGGAGCAGCGGGGACACCCCUCCCCGCCCGAUGUCCCCAUCACUGGCGACCUUCAACCUCCCCACCAUCGUAGGGUGAAGCCUCAACUGAGACGGAGACUGACCUGGGAUGUGCAGCACCGGUCUAGCCUGGCCCUGCAGCCCUCCACCGGACUCACCGAAGUAUUUGGAGGUGGUGCCGUCCUCUGCAUACACCACAACCAGCCCCGGCCGAAGAACCUGCAGCGUGGGCACGUGGGCCGCCAGGAUGCCGAAGGCUCCGGUCAGCGUGGGCACGUCCACCUGCCGGACGUUGGCACCGUUGAAGAACACCUGCGACAACAGCGUGGGGAAUGAUGGCGGGGCAGGGCAGCCCCGCGCCCACCCCGGACUCGGCCUGUCCUGCUGAGAAAUGGGUCCGGGCGCUGAUGUGAGACACUGAGACAGCCCAGUGCAGGAUCAGAGAUUGCAGCUUUGGUCCUCAACGUUGCGCCUCAUUCUACUGAUCCGCGAAAUGGGAAUGCAACGAUCCGGCGACACCCAGGCUUUGGCCAGGGAGAUCGGGGAGGGCACUCAGGGGGCGCUUAUCUCGGGGAGGUGCCCGGGACGAGGGCAGCGCAGGGCUCGGGCGGCAGAGGCAGGGCCGAGGGUCCAGGACUGAGUGACCUCGGCUUCCGGGGCGCGCGGAUCCGGGGACCCGGAAGCGGGGGGUCGCGCCCUAGGGGUGGGGACCCUGGACUCCGGGGGCGGCGGCCACGGAGGGUCCCGACCCGCAGCGACCGAACCUGCGUUGGGGAGGCGAAGGUGAAGGACAUCUGGUUGGGGCCGGCGGCGGCAGCCGGGGCAGCGGCGGCCUCGGCAUAGGCACGGGCCUGACGGACGAGGCGGCCAAGUCCCGGGCGGCGGAGCAGCGCGGCGGGCAGCAUGGCAGCGACCGGCGGCAGGAAGCGGGUGGCGGGCGGGCGGCGGACUCCGGCGCGGCGCGGGCGGCCUGGAGGGCGAGGAGGACGACGCGCAGGGACGUCUGGGAGGAGGAGUCCUGGCAAGAGCGCAAGCGCGAACUACUACUCCCAGCAGGGCGCACGCGACGUUGUCGACGUUGAGGACGCAACGCCCCGUCGUGGGGUAUUUUGGGGGUUGCAGUUUUGUUCUGGCCCCGGCUGCAGUUUUGUUCUGGCCCCUUAUCCAGCAGGGGGUCAGAUAAGGGUGGUGAGACAGUCCUGGGAGGUGGAGGGAGUAAAACGAGCUUCAGUGAAAUUCAAGAUUGGGCUGCCUGGUGGCUCACGCCUGUAAUACCAGCGUUUUGGGAGGUUGAGCCCAGAGGAUCACUUGAGGCUUGGAAACCAGUCUGGGCAACAGUGUGGAUCGCCCCCGCCCCCGACCUGUCUGUACAAAAAAAAAAAAAAAAAA